GAGCUCACAGGAUGUAGCAGAUGACACCAAUGCUCCACAUGUCAGUGGCCAGACCAACAGGCUCGAAGUUGAUGACCUCUGGAGCAACAAAUUCUGGAGUGCCGUGCAUCACCUUCAGAGGUGUGUUGGGAUCUAAGAAAAAAUCCUCACCUGGGUUGUCCAUCUUGAUUGGCUGGGACUCUUGGCUGGGCUCGCUGAUGCCCACAGCGUUACAGGCCCUGACCCGGAAGCAGUAUUCUCCCUGAGGCUGGAGUCCUGAGGUCACCCUGAGCGAAGUACUCUUGCACUGGGCUGUGAGCUCUUUCCAGUGGUCAGUCUCACCAGGGCUUUCACAAACCUCCACCACGUAUCCCGUCACAGCGCUGCCACCGUCGUAAGACGGCCCAGACCAGGACAAAACUAGAGAGUGAGGGGAAAGAACGCGCACCACGGGGCAGGAGGCAGGAGGCUGGGGCAGACCCAGCAAGAUGCAACAGGACAGCUGCCUUUGAACACACAUGUCAAACGGGCCGUCUCUCCAACAUGCACCUCCAGCCGAUCGAAUGGAUCUACAAACUGCAGAGGAGUGUCCCCACAAAAAGAGGACAUCUGGACGCACUUGAAUAUUGAUCAGUUCUGUCAGUCUCAGACACUUCAACAAUCCCAGUUCUACACAGGAAGUAAUUCUCGCAAAGGAAGGUGGUAGCAGGAACACAAACUUCUUCCUGUUUGUAUAUAAAGAGGUAAAUGGAAAGAUGGAGGGAUGCUGAUAAAAGCUGGGCCAGGCAGUCAAUAGCUGGGACACAGUACUGUCUGACGACAGUGGAAGGUUGCCGAUAAGCCCUCCAUCAUGGCAGAUGAACAUCUUCUGCCUGCUUUGCACUUCAUGAGAUCUCGGAUAAAUGUUGAGAACGUGAUAUUAUUACACUAAUUCAACAUAUGUUUUUAAGUUGAGGUGGCAAAUACUCUUAAGUCAACAUACAAACUAGCUGUUAAGUUGAAUUAACAAAUCCAGAAACUGCAAGUUGUAUCAACUUAAAAAAUCACAAUGAAACAAACUGCAAAAUCCUUCACACACAUGAGGAACUGUAUGAAACCACUACUUUUUUUAAAAAGAAAAAGACUCUUGAAUAGACAACAUGUUUUUUUGUUUGUUUGUUUGUUUGUUUUUUACAAUAUCAUGCACAAUCAUGUGCUGUCCUGGUAAACCCUAUUGUGUGGACCAAAUGUCCCCACAAAGAUAGUAAUACUAGUCAUUUUUGACCUUGCGGUGAGAUUUUUGGCCCCCAUGAUUAAA